GUCGUCAGCUCUUGUCGUGAGAUGGUGGGUGAGUCCCGCAACGAGCGCAACCUGUUUUUAGUUGCCUUAGGAACUCUAAAAAGACUGCUGGUUAUAAACCGGAGGAAGGUGGGGAUGACGUCAAGUCAGCAUGCCCCUUACACCCUGGGCUACACACGUGCUACAUUGGGCGAGACAAUGAGAUGCAAAUCUGCGAAGAAUAGCUAAUCUAUAAACUCGUUCUAAGUUCGGAUUAUAGGCUGCAACUCGCCUACAUGAAGGUGGAAUCGCUAGUAAUCGCUGGUCAGUACACAGCGGUGAAUUCGUUCCCGGGCCUUGAACACACCGCCCGUC
rnacentral:rRNA from 1 species